rnacentral:rRNA from 1 species
GACGUAGGGCGCGAGCGUUGUCCGGAUUUAUUGGGCGUAAAGAGCUCGUAGGCGGCCUGUCGCGUCGACUGUGAAAACCCGCAGCUCAACUGCGGGACUGCAGUCGAUACGGGCAGGCUAGAGUUCGGUAGGGGAGACUGGAAUUCCUGGUGUAGCGGUGAAAUGCGCAGAUAUCAGGAGGAACACCGGUGGCGAAGGCGGGUCUCUGGGCCGAUACUGACGCUCAGGCACGAAAGCGUGGGGAGCAAACAGG